rnacentral:rRNA from 1 species
GAUGAACGCUGGCGGCGUGCCUCAAACAUGCAAGUCGAGCGGGGCUAUGUAAUAUCGCAAGGUAGAACAUAGCCUAGCGGCGAACGGGUGAGUAACACGUGGGUAACCUGCCUGGAAGACAGGGAUAACGAUUCGAAAGGGUCGCUAAUACCUGAUAAUAUCCUUUCAUCGCAUGGUGAUAGGAAGAAAGGGGAAACCCGCUUUCAGAUGGGCCCGCGUCCCAUCAGCUAGUUGGUAAGGUAAAGGCUUACCAAGGCGACGACGGGUAGCCGGUCUGAGAGGAUGUACGGCCACACUGGGACUGAGAUACGGCCCAGACUCCUACGGGAGGCAGCAGUUGGGAAUCUUAGGCAAUGGACGAAAGUCUGACCUAGCGACGCCGCGUGAGGGAAGAAGGCCUUGGGUUGUAAACCUCUGUCAUGGGGAAGAAGUAAGUGACGGUACCCCAAGAGGAAGCCCCUGCUAACUACGUGCCAGCAGCCGCGGUAAGAGUACUCUAU